GGAAAACAAGAGUAAGCUGUUGAAAUGGUAAGUGAAUUUAAAUACGUAAAAUAUUUUACAAGUUUGAAAAAAAAAUCCUGUCCUUCCUUUCUAACUUCCAGGGUGCAGUGGAGCCAUUCUUUAUAAUCAUCCUGUUUACUGCAUCCUCAAAUCGCUUUCCUGGCUUUGUAUAAGCAUAGAAAAUGUGUUCUCCAGCUGAGCACAGCUGACCCACCCAUGAGUGGACAACUGCCCCUCCUACCCAGUACAUCCAAGCAGAAGCCAAAGGCAGAAGCAGUGGCGGGAUUCCCCGAAGCAGCAGCAGGGCGGGAUUCCCCACCUCCAAUCCCCACCCUAGGCAGGCUGCCCAGGGGCCACCAACUUGUUUACCUUCUUCACUGUUCGGUGGGACGUGUCAGCAUUCGAACACUACCAGGGGCGCCACAGGUACGUGGAAUCGAGCCUGCACGUCGUCACCCAGACUGUUAAUAAUCACCAAAGCAGUACCCUGGCACAGGGGAGAUGGGCAGCUCCUGUGGUGCUGCAGCCUGCAAGUCACCCACUGUUUACACAGGCAACUCAAUGCCAGAGCCCCUUACCUCUUUGGAAUGCAUUCUUCAAUACUGGAAGAUGUUCGACCCUUCCGUGUUGAAAAAGAGCCAUUUGAUAUUUCUCUGCACAUGUGUGUGGCCUACGUAUCCUUAGAGCCAAACCAGAAUGCAGACAGAAGUAUUUGUUAUGAUAUUCUUUGCAACAAGAGGCAUACUGUACAAAGAACAGAAAAUGAAGACCAGAAGAUAGACUGCCAGGGAAACUACCAAUGCCCACUGGAUUGCAAGCAGUCCUUACGCAAGAUCCCUACUUGCCUAACGACCAGGUGGGCAAUUGCAUUAGAAAAUAUUUCAAGACACAUGUUCUUGAAGGUCUAAAAUG
rnacentral:lncRNA from 1 species